rnacentral:rRNA from 1 species
UACGUAGGUGACAAGCGUUGUCCGGAUUUACUGGGCGUAAAGAGCGCGCAGGCGGUCGUUCAAGUCGAGUGUGAAAGCCCCCGGCUCAACUGGGGAGGGUCACUCGAUACUGAUCGACUCGAAGGCAGGAGAGGGAAGUGGAAUUCCCGGUGUAGUGGUGAAAUGCGUAGAUAUCGGGAGGAACACCAGUGGCGAAGGCGACUUCCUGGCCUGUUCUUGACGCUGAGGCGCGAAAGCUAGGGGAGCAAACGGGG